AAGUCGUAACAAGGUUUUCGUAGGUGAACCUGCGGAAGGAUCAUUAGUGAAUUCGGGGGUUCAACUCUGAAAUAUGAGUCUGACCCCAUUCCUUUCCAAUCAACACUUGUGCAUUUUUCCUUCAGCGAUCCCUUAGAGGAAAGCUGGGAAAGCUCUUGUGAUUGUAAACACAGUCGAGGAUGUAAAUCCAAAUUGAAAAAGUUAAUAAACAACUAUAAACGGUGGAUCUCUUGGCUCUCGUAUCGAUGAAGAACGCAGCGAAACGCGAAAUGUAAUGUGAAUUGCAGAAUUCAGUGAAUCAUCGAAUCUUUGAACGCAUCUUGCGCUCUUGGGUUAUUCCUAAGAGCAUGCCUGUUUGAGUGUCGCGAAACUCUCAACCCCAUCUUAUGCUUUUGGCAUAAGGUCGUUUGGGUUUGGAUCUUGGUCUUUGCAGUUUGCUUUGGCGGACGGCUGGAUUGAAAUACAACAAGCUGGAUUCAUAGACUUGCGGCUUGACCUGUCGUUGUAAGCAAUUACUGCAUUCGAUGGGGACGCAAGAUAAUGAAAGGAGCUUUCAAUAUUGCUAUACCACUCUGUUCCUUAUGGGACUUAGUGCAUUCUGACCUCAAAUCAGGUAGGAUUACCCGCUGAACUUAA
rnacentral:rRNA from 1 species